CCGGCGACCGGCGCACGGGUGAGUAACACGUAUGCAACCUGCCCGUCCGCAGGGGGAUAACCCGGAGAAAUCCGGACUAAUACCGCGUGGUACACCAGUGGGGCAUCCCACGGGUGUUAAAAGGAAGCGAUUCCGGCGGAGGAUGGGCAUGCGGCGCAUUAGCUUGUUGGCGGGGUAACGGCCCACCAAGGCGACGAUGCGUAGGGGUUCUGAGAGGAAGGUCCCCCCACACUGGUACUGAGACACGGACCAGACUCCUACGGGAGGCAGCAG
rnacentral:rRNA from 1 species